UGUCUUCAAAAUUUCAAAAGAAAGAAGAAGCUUUGCAAUGAUGUGGAAAAAUGGAUAAGCUUAAUAUAAGCUUAUGUCUCCCAAAAUGUGUAAGUCCAUUGACAGAGAUGGAAAAAGAUUAUUUAUAUUGAAUUGCAGGAAGCCCCUAAUGAAGAUUCUAGUUCUUGAUCCCUCAGAAAAAAACUCUAGUUCUUCAGAGCCUGGAUCAAACAAUACUUUAUAAAGUGAAAAGGAUUGUUCCUUCCUUACUCGUGCUGUAAGUUUUCUGUUUUCCUUCUUUCGUCCGUACUCAUCCUUUUAUUUUCCAUUUUUUG